CAGCCAUGAAGUUCGCUCUUGUUAUACUGCUGUGCUGCCUCGUUAUACUCGCGCAAGGUAGCACCAUGCAGGAGAGAGAGGAGUGUCGGGAGAAAGGCGGGUUUUGUAUCAGUCUCAUGGCCAUGAUAGCGUGCGGUCCACUGAGCGACCCCUCUAUGUGUGGACAUUUACAACACUGCUGCAUAAACUGAUAUCCGUUGUUUAUUGCAUUCUUCAUCUGAUAAACCGGUUUUCAAGAUGUUAUACCCAAUAAAAUCGAAAACAUAUCAAUA